ACUCCUACGGGAGGCAGCAGUGGGGAAUUUUGGACAAUGGGCGCAAGCCUGAUCCAGCCAUGCCGCGUGCGGGAAGAAGGCCUUCGGGUUGUAAACCGCUUUUGUCAGGGAAGAAAAGGUUCUGGCUAAUACCUGGGACUCAUGACGGUACCUGAAGAAUAAGCACCGGCUAACUACGUGCCAGCAGCCGCGGUAAUACGUAGGGUGCAAGCGUUAAUCGGAAUUACUGGGCGUAAAGCGUGCGCAGGCGGUUAUGCAAGACAGAGGUGAAAUCCCCGGGCUCAACCUGGGAACUGCCUUUGUGACUGCAUGGCUAGAGUACGGUAGAGGGGGAUGGAAUUCCGCGUGUAGCAGUGAAAUGCGUAGAUAUGCGGAGGAACACCGAUGGCGAAGGCAAUCCCCUGGACCUGUACUGACGCUCAUGCACGAAAGCGUGGGGAGCAAACAGGAUUAGAUACCCGGGUAGUCC
rnacentral:rRNA from 1 species